CGGGGUGCACCAGGCGCGAAAACUUUGCAAUGCGGGAAACCGUGACAAGGGAACUCUGAGUGCCCGUUAAAUCGGGCUGUCCAUCGGUUUAAAUAACCGGUGAAGAAAGGGCCGGGCAAGACCGGUGCCAGCCGCCGCGGUAAUACCGGCGGCUCGAGUGGUGGCCACUAUUACUGGGCUUAAAGCGUUCGUAGCUGGUCUGUUAAGUCUCUGGGGAAAUCUUCCGGCUUAACCGGAAGGCGUCUCAGGGAUACUGGCAGACUAGGGACCGGGAGAGGUGAGAGGUACUCCAGGGGUAGGAGUGAAAUCCUGUAAUCCUUGGGGGACCACCUGUGGCGAAGGCGUCUCACCAGAACGGCUCCGACAGUGAGGGACGAAAGCUGGGGGAGCAAACCGGAUUAGAUACCCGGGUAGUCCCAGCUGUAAACGAUGCGCGUUAGGUGUAUCGGUGACCACGAGUCACCGAGGUGCCGAAGAGAAAUCGUGAAACGUGCCGCCUGGGAAGUACGGUCGCAAGGCUGAAACUUAAAGGAAUUG
rnacentral:rRNA from 1 species